UCGGCAACACUGUUUCCACUUUGACGCUUUGUUUUGUUAUUAUUCGUUGAAAAUCUUUUAUCUGUUUGUAAACAUUCAAGUCGAUUAUGUCUUACAUAUGGUGAUAGUCGAUUAUUUGGAGUCGGCUUUCUGCUGCAGAAAACCACCGGUUUGUGAAUUUUCAUACAAGUUUUUAUAGCAGCGUUUUUGCAAAUAUAACAGAGACCACCUUACAUACAAUACAUAAACUACAGUUAGACUUCACAGACGAGCAAUUGCUGCGGAAGGUGUGUGUUGAAGAGCUAGGUGGCCCAACUAUUGUGGUUUUUAGAAACGAAAGCACGUAUGCGCGUAUUUCUACCAUUGUCUCAUAUGGUGCUACGGACAAUUUCAUAGGAGACAUUGAGCGUGUUGUGUAUGAUGGUGCAAAUACCUGUUUAACAUGUGACGGUUAUUAUGUGCCUAGUACUGCUACCUC